rnacentral:rRNA from 1 species
GAUGAACGCUGGCGGCGUGCCUAAUACAUGCAAGUCGAGCGAACAGACGAGGAGCUUGCUCCUCUGACGUUAGCGGCGGACGGGUGAGUAACACGAGGAUAACCUACCUAUAAGACGGGGAUAACUUCGGGAAACCGGCGAUAAUACCGGAUAAUAUAUUGAACCGCAGGGUUCAAUAGUGAAAGACGGUUUUGCUGUCACUUAUAGAUGGAUCCGCGCCGCAUUGGCUGGUAGGUAAGCUAACGGGUUACGAAGGCGACGAUGCGUAGACGACGUGAGAGGGUGAUAGGCCACCCUGGAGCUGAGACACGGUCCAGACUCCUACGGGAGGCAGCAGUCGGGAAUCUUCCGCAGUGGGCGAAAGCCUGGCGGAGCAACGCCGCGCGAGUGAUGAAGGUCCUCGGAUCGUGAAGCUGUGUUAUUAGGGGAGAACAAAUGUGUAAGUAACUAUGCACGUCUUGACGGUACCUAAUCAGAAAGCCACGGCUAACUACGUG